GGAAAACAAACUGUGCUGAGAGUGAUUUUGGAGAGACUCACUUUUUCCUCUACAUACUUCUGUGUUGAAGUUUAUUCAAAGCAUCUCUUAAAUACUUACAGUGUUCUUCUUUUCUUAUGCACACAUAUCAAUGGGAAAUUCAUACGUCGAAAAACGGGCUCCUUUGUGAAACCAAGAGUCAAACUUUUCACUCCAGUAAAUGAGUGCUCAGAGGAUGACCUUAGAUUCACCACAGGCAGAGGAAGAUAACUGAAACAUGAGGAAAAGUUCCAGUUCACAGAACAGCCUGGAUUGUCAAGAAAAGUUACUAAAAGAACCUAGUUCUUCAUUUCUCUGAUCUUUCUCUUAUGAAACUUAUCAGUGCUAUACAUAUUCAGGGAAAUGUCUUAGUGAAAAAGAGGAGACAUAAAGCUCCUCCAAAAGAUCAGUGGUUAUUAGA